UACGUAGGGUGCAAGCGUUGUCCGGAAUUAUUGGGCGUAAAGAGCUCGUAGGCGGUCUGUCGCGUCGGCUGUGAAAUCCCGGGGCUCAACCCCGGGCCUGCAGUCGAUACGGGCAGACUAGAGUGCGGUAGGGGAGACUGGAAUUCCUGGUGUAGCGGUGAAAUGCGCAGAUAUCAGGAGGAACACCGGUGGCGAAGGCGGGUCUCUGGGCCGUAAAUGACGCUCAUGCACGACAGCGUGGGGAUAAAACAGG
rnacentral:rRNA from 1 species